CAGGUGGUCAGGUAGAGAAUACUCAGGCGCUUGAGAGAACUCGGGUGAAGGAACUAGGCAAAAUGGUGCCGUAACUUCGGGAGAAGGCACGCUGGCGUUAGGUGAAGUGGUUUACCCAUGGAGCUGAAGCCAGUCGCAGAUACCAGCUGGCUGCAACUGUUUAUUAAAAACACAGCACUGUGCAAACACGAAAGUGGACGUAUACGGUGUGACGCCUGCCCGGUGCUGGAAGGUUAAUUGAUGGGGUUAUCCGUAAGGAGAAGCUCUUGAUCGAAGCCCCAGUAAACGGCGGCCGUAACUAUAACGGUCCUAAGGUAGCGAAAUUCCUUGUCGGGUAAGUUCCGACCUGCACGAAUGGCGUAAUGAUGGCCAGGCUGUCUCCACCCGAGACUCAGUGAAAUUGAACUCGCUGUGAAGAUGCAGUGUACCCGCGGCAAGACGGAAAGACCCCGUGAACCUUUACUAUAGCUUGACACUGAACAUUGAGCCUUGAUGUGUAGGAUAGGUGGGAGGCUUUGAAGUGUGGACGCCAGUCUGCAUGGAGCCAACCUUGAAAUACCACCCUUUAAUGUUUGAUGUUCUAACGUUGCCCCGUUAUCCGGGGUGCGGACAGUGUCUGGUGGGUAGUUUGACUGGGGCGGUCUCCUCCCAAAGAGUAACGGAGGAGCACGAAGGUUGGCUAAGCAUGGUCGGACAUCAUGCGGUUAGUGCAAAGGCAUAAGCCAGCUUGACUGCGAGAGUGACGGCUCGAGCAGGUACGAAAGUAGGUCUUAGUGAUCCGGUGGUUCUGAAUGGAAGGGCCAUCGCUCAACGGAUAAAAGGUACUCCGGGGAUAACAGGCUGAUACCGCCCAAGAGUUCAUAUCGACGGCGGUGUUUGGCACCUCGAUGUCGGCUCAUCACAUCCUGGGGCUGAAGUAGGUCCCAAGGGUACGGCUGUUCGCCGUUUAAAGUGGUACGCGAGCUGGGUUUAGAACGUCGUGAGACAGUUCGGUCCCUAUCUGCCGUGGGCGUUGGAAGAUUGAAAGGGGCUGCUCCUAGUACGAGAGGACCGGAGUGGACGCACCACUGGUGUUCGGGUUGUCAUGCCAAUGGCAUUGCCCGGUAGCUAAGUGCGGAAGAGAUAACCGCUGAAAGCAUCUAAGCGGGAAACUUGCCUUGAGAUGAGUCUUCCCUGACCCUUUAAGGGUCCUAAAGGAACGUUUAAG
rnacentral:rRNA from 1 species